rnacentral:rRNA from 1 species
AUUGAACGCUGGCGGCAGGCCUAACACAUGCAAGUCGAACGGUAACAGGAAGAAGCUUGCUUCUUUGCUGACGAGUGGCGGACGGGUGAGUAAUGUCUGGGAAACUGCCUGAUGGAGGGGGAUAACUACUGGAAACGGUAGCUAAUACCGCAUAACGUCGCAAGACCAAAGAGGGGGACCUUCGGGCCUCUUGCCAUCGGAUGUGCCCAGAUGGGAUUAGCUAGUAGGUGGGGUAACGGCUCACCUAGGCGACGAUCCCUAGCUGGUCUGAGAGGAUGACCGGCCACACGGAACUUGGACAACGUUCAGACUCCUACGGGAGGCAGCAGUGGGGAAUAUUGCACAAAGGGCGCAAGCCUGAUGCAGCCAUGCCGCGUGUAUGAAGAAGGCCUUCGGGUUGUAAAGUACUUUCAGCGGGGAGGAAGGGAGUAAAGUUAAUACCUUUGCUCAUUGACGUUACCCGCAGAAGAAGCACCGGCUAACUCCGUG